rnacentral:lncRNA from 1 species
AUGGAAAAGAAUGUGAAAAAGAAUGUAUACAUAAUACAGGAAACAAACAAGAAAAGGAGAAACUAUAGGUAUGUGUACACAAAAUGGAGUCACUUUGCUACACAGCACAAAUCAACACGCUUUAAAUCAACUACAAUUAAAAAGAAGAAUGAGACAUGGUGUACUUUGCAGCAGCCCAUCCAGGUCUCAGUACCGUGGUGCAGCGGCCUCAGAGAUGGCGCUGGCCAUCCAGGCAGGCCACAGAAGCUCUGGGUGACAUUAAGCCAUUGGGCUGUUCUCGGAUCAAAUGAUCUCCAGAUCAGAGCAUUGUUCGAGACCAGGGGGAUAUGGCAUAUUAAUGACCUAAGACAGAGCAGGUUCUCACCUGAAGGGAGAAGGUUAACUGGAGCUCUGUCUCCACCAGUCCACUGGCUGGAAGGAUGAUUUCGUUAGGCGAAGAAUCCUUUUGAACCCUGAAACCAAGACAAAAUAGGUCAAAGCUGCAUCACCAAAAUCAGACCAAAAGAAAUACUAUGCUUACAAACACCACCUAAACUCUACGAAGAAUCUUACCAGUUCAGAUAUUCCAUCAGUCUUUGUUGUACUUGAUUAAAAUCAAGCCACUACCGUAGACAUGAUUUUACAUUAUGCUGUUUACAAAGGGUUUUCACAUUAAAAUGACGUUACUGCACUCGAGUUCUCCUUUCCCACUGCCCCUGAGGAGAGGCAGCAAGGUUGCCCCAAAGCAUGGCAGUUCACCCCAAGGCGUGGCAGUUCUCCCUGAGGCUCCUCGGCCACCCUCCUCCCAUCGGACUGGCCACGCUGUCCUCUCUCUGGGCCUUCGGCAUGCUGCUUUCUCUUCCUGGGUCCUCUCUCAUGCUUAAACACACAGCUCACCAACUCACUUCCCAGUCUCAGCUUUGAUACAAAUUUUCCCAGGAACUUUUGCUUUAAGCACCGUCCCCACUAAACCUUGCACUGGGUUAGAUACCCUAGUGUUUUCGUUCUUAAAGAAAAAUAAAGUUGGGCUAAACUGUUCCUCAAAGUAAAAGAGACCAGCCGGAGGUCUGAGGAAUGACAGUAAAUUUGUAAAAUUACUUAAAAAAUUAAGUUUAAUUUAACAUGGUGAAGUGACCAGAUCUCCAGCACACCGAUGGACGAGUUAGUAAACGUUACACCCGUGUAGCCCACAUCUGUAUCAAAAUGUACAGGAUCUCUAUCACUCCGGGAAAAUCCCUUGGACCCCACUCUCCAGUCAAUCCUGCACCCCUCCUCAGAGGUGAGUGCUGCUGACUCCUCUCACCAGAGAUCUAUCUUUCUUGCUCUAAAAUACCACAUAAAUGGAACCACAGGCGUGUACUAUUUGGGUGGCCUUCUUCUGCCCAACAUUUAUAAUGUGUCUGAGGUUCACAUAGGCUGUUGCGUGUAUCACAUUCCUUGGACUGCCCAGCAGAAUCCUGUCCCACGAACGUACCACGAGUGGCUCCCACUGUCCUGUUGCUGAACAUUCACACUUGGGGCGUUUCUAGUUAGCAAUCACUACGGCUAAAGCUGGCAUUCUGAUUUUCAUGUGUUUGUUUAUUUCUAUUUUACUUUUUUUUCAGCAGGUCUUGGUUGCCGUGUGUGGGCUCUUUCGCUGUGGUGCAGGCCCUGCACUGGCGGUGCUCUGGCUCCAGUAGCAGUGCACGGGCUUAGCUGCCCUGCAACAUGCGGACCUUAGGCCUGCUGGGGCUCCAACCCGGCCCAGUUGCAUUGGCAGGUGGAUUCUCAACCACGGGACUAGCAGCGAAGUCCCAAAGCUACCACUCAG